UUAUUCGACCGGAUAAAUAUGAAUUGCAUUCCACGACAAACUCAACACCAGCCAACUCUGGUAUUCAUGAACAAAUUUUAUUAUCAACUGUGAUUACACCCUUUUGAACAGUCGAUUGCAAACGAAUCGUUACAAAUCGAACGGGUAUUGUCGUACUGAAAUGUAUGACAAAGUGACUGUUGGUAGCACCCAGAGCUCCAGCUAUCUUUCAAACACUGAGGCAGUAUAAAGUUGAUGAAGAUGGUACUUACGUAUGCACUUGUAGCCCACUUGAUCGUCUUCAAAGCAAGUAUCAACACAAGCUUCUGUGAGAGCACACGGACUAAUUGAACGGCAGAUUGGUCCCCUCUAAAACAAAUUACAGGUUUUGUUGCAAGUACGAACUUUUAUUGAGGCAAUAAAUUAUUGUAUUAAUUA